UGAGUACGAGAUGCUACGGCAUCGAAGCAGUCUAUGUCAUACUUCCAAGAAAAGCUUGCAAUGUCAUAAACAAAUAAUGCCUGUACCAUAACCGACACAGGUGGGUAGGUAGAGUAUACUAAGGGGCGCGAGAUAACUCUCUCUAAGGAACUCGGCAAAAUGACUCCGUAACUUCGGGAGAAGGAGUGCCUUAUUUUUAUAAGGUUGCAAUAACAAGAUCCAAGCAACUGUUUACCAAAAACACAGGUCUCCGCUAAGUCGUAAGACGAUGUAUGGGGGCUGACGCCUGCCCAGUGCCAGAAGGUUAAAGAAGUUGGUUAGCAUUAGCGAAGCUGAUAACUGAAGCCCUGGUGAACGGCGGCCGUAACUAUAACGGUCCUAAGGUAGCGAAAUUCCUUGUCGGGUAAGUUCCGACCCGCACGAAAGGCGUAAUGAUUUGGAUACUGUCUCGGAGAGGGGCUCGGUGAAAUAGACUUGUCUGUGAAGAUGCGGACUACCUGCACCUGGACAGAAAGACCCUAUGAAGCUUUACUGUAACUUGAGAUUGAAAUUGGACUUUAUCUGCGCAGUAUAGGUGGGAGACGUUGAAAAUAUUCUUGCGGGAAUAUUGGAGUCAUCAGUGAGAUACCACUCUUAUAAUGUUAGAUUUCUAACUUUGUAUCAUUAUCUGGUCAAAGAACAGUUUCAGGCGGGCAGUUUGACUGGGGCGGUCGCCUCCCAAGCGGUAACGGAGGCGCACAAAGGUUUCCUCUGAACGUGUAGAAAUCGUAUCUAGAGUGUAAAGGCAUAAGGAAGCUUGACUGUGAGACCUACAAGUCGAGCAGGGACGAAAGUCGGUCUUAGUGAUCUGACGGUGCUGAGUGGAAAGGCCGUCACUCAACGGAUAAAAGUUACUCUAGGAUAACAGGCUGAUCUCCCCCAAGAGUUCACAUCGACGGGGAGGUUUGGCACCUCGAUGUCGGCUCAUCGCAUCCUGGGGCGGUAGUACGUCCCAAGGGUUGGGCUGUUCGCCCAUGAAAGCGGUACGCGAGCUGGGUUCAGAACGUCGUGAGACAGUUCGGUCCAUAUCCGGUGUAGGCGUUAGAAUAUUGAGAGGAGCCUUCUUUAGUACGAGAGGACCGAGAAGGACAUACCUCUGGUGUACCAGUUAUCGUGCCAACGGUAAACGCUGGGUAGCCAUGUAUGGAGAGGAUAACCGCUGAAAGCAUCUAAGUGGGAAGCCCACCUCAAGAUAAGUAUUCAC
rnacentral:rRNA from 1 species